rnacentral:snoRNA from 1 species
CUGUAGUCAAUUAAGCUGACCAGCCCCCUCUCCCCAUGGGUCCUGGUGUGCAGUGGCUGCGGACAGCAGCCUUCUUGGUAGUGUACAUGGCCUGUUGCUUUUACGGGCUGCCCUAAGGCACCUGGGAGACAGCC